GCGCUUUAAUAUACUUCCAGCUGAGCAGGUUGCAACUGCAAUAUCGCCCGUUGAUACAAUCAGCAAGCUGUAGUAAACCAGGAAACCAAGGGUCGGAGACGAACACUAUCUGCGCAGAAUGUAUUUGGGUCUCGAUUCAUGCAUCAUUGUCGUAUUACUGCCAUAUGUGAUUUGUCAGGGCGAGCACCAGAUCUCCCAAUCCCCAACGAGACUGUCCAUUGAACGGGGGAAAAGUGCGGAGUUCAACUGCCGGCAGAGUCAAUCGCUAGAGUACAUGUAUUGGUACCAACAGAAGGAAGCCGGGGGUUUGCGACUGCUUCUGCGCUCAUACAUCUACAACACCGACGUAGAAAAAGAAAGCGGCGUCUCUGAUAGGUACCAAGCGACGAGGAACGGUAUGAAAAGCAUGAUCCUGAACAUAACAGGGGCGAAGGCAGAAGAUGAGGGGACCUAUUACUGUGCUGCCAGUAGCACCACAGAGGUGCAAGCAAGCGAGUCUUCAGUUCAAAAACUCACCAAACCCACAUGAGGAACAACAACUUGCAUUUAUAUAGCAACUUCACUGUCCGAAAUCAAAAUUUUCCAAGGAAGUUAUAUCAAUCAACAUUCACAUCAGG